GAUGAACGCUGGCGGCGUGCCUAAUACAUGCAGGUCGAGCGGACAGACGAGGAGCUUGCUCCUCUGACGUUAGCGGCGGACGGUGAGUAACACGUGGAUAACCUACCUAUAAGACUGGGAUAACUUCGGGAAACCGGAGCUAAUACCGGAUAAUAUAUUGAACCGCAUGGUUCAAUAGUGAAAGACGGUUUUGCUGUCACUUAUAGAUGGAUCCGCGCCGCAUUAGCUAGUUGGUAAGGUAACGGCUUACCAAGGCGACGAUGCGUAGCCGACCUGAGAGGGUGAUCGGCCACACUGGAACUGAGACACGGUCCAGACUCCUACGGGAGGCAGCAGUAGGGAAUCUUCCGCAAUGGGCGAAAGCCUGACGGAGCAACGCCGCGUGAGUGAUGAAGGUCUUCGGAUCGUAAAACUCUGUUAUUAGGGAAGAACAAAUGUGUAAGUAACUAUGCACGUCUUGACGGUACCUAAUCAGAAAGCCACGGCUAACUACGUG
rnacentral:rRNA from 1 species